rnacentral:piRNA from 1 species
UUAACAGUUUAUCUGUUUGCAUAACCCU